UGCGGGUGAUCCUAUCUUGCACUCUGCCGGGGUCUUUCUUGUUCAUUUCUGCCUGAUUUUCAAUAAGAUUAUAUUCUUAGGAGGACUAGAAAAGGAGGAGGAAGAGGAAGAGUAGGAGGAGGAAGAGGAAGAAGAGGAAAAAGAGGAGGACAUAGCUGGGAGAACAAGAAAUUAUUUAAACGGUGUGUGUAUCUGUGCAUGUUAGUACAGGUGUCAGUGGAGACCAGAAGAGCACACUGGAUCUCUUGGAGCAGGAGUUACAGAUGGUUGUAAACUUUGAAUUCAACUGAAGUCCUUUGGAAAGACAGAGCAUGCUCCUGGCUACCGAGUCAUCUUUCUACCCC
rnacentral:lncRNA from 1 species